rnacentral:rRNA from 1 species
GACGAACGCUGGCGGCGUGCCUAAUACAUGCAAGUCGAACGCAUUUUCUUUCACCGUAGCUUGCUACACCGAAAGAAGAUGAGUGGCGAACGGGUGAGUAACACGUGGGUAACCUGCCCAUCAGCGGGGGAUAACACUUGGAAACAGGUGCUAAUACCGCAUAAUUCCAUUUACUGCAUGGUAGAUGGAUGAAAGGCGCUUUUGCGUCACUGAUGGAUGGACCCGCGGUGCAUUAGCUAGUGGGUGGGGUAACGGCCUACCAAGGCUGCGAUGCAUAGCCGACCUGAGAGGGUGAUCGGCCACACUGGGACUGAGACACGGCCCAGACUCCUACGGGAGGCAGCAGUAGGGAAUCUUCGGCAAUGGACGCAAGUCUGACCGAGCAACGCCGCGUGAGUGAAGAAGGUUUUCGGAUCGUAAAACUCUGUUGUUAGAAAAGAACAAGGAUGAGAGUGGAAAGUUCAUCCCUUGACGGUAUCUAACCAGAAAGCCACGGCUAACUACGUG